rnacentral:rRNA from 1 species
AUACGUAGGGGGCGAGCGUUGUCCGGAAUGAUUGGGCGUAAAGGGCGCGUAGGCGGCGCGGUAAGUCUGGAGUGAAAGUCCUGCUUUCAAGGUGGGAAUUGCUUUGGAUACUGCCGCGCUUGAGUGCAGGAGAGGUUAUCGGAAUUCCCGGUGUAGCGGUGAAAUGCGUAGAGAUCGGGAGGAACACCAGUGGCGAAGGCGGGUAACUGGACUGCAACUGACGCUGAGGCGCGAAAGUGUGGGGAGCAAACAGGAUUAGAUACCCUGGUAGUCCACACGGUAAACGAUGAAUGCUAGGUGUAAGAGGUAUCGACCCCUUGUGUGCCGGAGUCAACACAAUAAGCAUUCCGCCUGGGGAGUACGGCCGCAAGGUUGAAACUCAAAUGAAUUGACGGGG